AUCCCGUGGUGAGGACAUUUCCUUAACAACUCCUUGAAUUUGUCCUAAUUAUCAAACAAAUACUCAUCAUCUCCUUGUUUAAAUAAAGUAAUCUAAUUUCUCAUCUU